AUUGAACGCUGGCGGCAUGCCUUACACAUGUAAGUCGAACGGCAGCGCGGGGCAACCUGGCGGCGAGUGGCGAACGGGUGAGUAAUAUAUCGGAACGUACCCUGGAGUGGGGGAUAACGUAGCGAAAGUUACGCUAAUACCGCAUACGAUCUAAGGAUGAAAGCAGGGGACCGCAAGGCCUUGUGCUCCUGGAGCGGCCGAUAUCUGAUUAGCUAGUUGGUGGGGUAAAGGCCUACCAAGGCAUCGAUCAGUAGCUGGUCUGAGAGGACGACCAGCCACACUGGAACUGAGACACGGUCUAGACUCCUACGGGAGGCAGCAGUGGGGAAUUUUGGACAAUGGGCGCAAGCCUGAUCCAGCAAUGCCGCGUGAGUGAAGAAGGCCUCGGGUUGUAAAGCUCUUUUGUCAGGGAAGAAACGGCGCGGGCUAAUAUCCUGCGCUAAUGACGGUACCUGAAGAAUAAGCACCGGCUAACUACGUGCCAGCAGCCGCGGUAAUACGUAGGGUGCAAGCGUUAAUCGGAAUUACUGGGCGUAAAGCGUGCGCAGGCGGUUUUGUAAGUCUGUCGUGAAAUCCCCGGGCUCAACCUGGGAAUUGCGAUGGAGACUGCAAGGCUAGAAUCUGGCAGAGGGGGGUAGAAUUCCACGUGUAGCAGUGAAAUGCGUAGAGAUGUGGAGGAACACCGAUGGCGAAGGCAGCCCCUGGGUCAAGAUUGACGCUCAUGCACGAAAGCGUGGGGAGCAAACAGGAUUAGAUACCCUGGUA
rnacentral:rRNA from 1 species